rnacentral:rRNA from 1 species
CCUACGGGAGGCAGCAGUAGGGAAUAUUGCUCAAUGGGGGAAACCCUGAAGCAGCAACGCCGCGUGGAGGAUGAAGGUUUUCGGAUUGUAAACUCCUUUUGUUAGAGAAGAUAAUGACGGUAUCUAACGAAUAAGCACCGGCUAACUCCGUGCCAGCAGCCGCGGUAAUACGGAGGGUGCAAGCGUUACUCGGAAUCACUGGGCGUAAAGAGCGCGUAGGCGGGAUAGUAAGUCAGAUGUGAAAUCCUAUGGCUUAACCACAGAACUGCAUUUGAAACUGUUAUUCUAGAGUGUGGGAGAGGUAGGUGGAAUUCUUGGUGUAGGGGUAAAAUCCGUAGAGAUCAAGAGGAAUACUCAUUGCGAAGGCGACCUGCUAGAACAUAACUGACGCUGAUGCGCGAAAGCGUGGGGAGCAAACAGGAUUAGAUACCCCUGUAGUC